rnacentral:misc_RNA from 1 species
CCUAACACAUGCAAGUCGGACGGUAGCACAGAGAGCUUGCUCUUGGGUGACGAGUGGCGGACGGGUGAGUAAUGUCUGGGGAUCUGCCCGAUAGAGGGGGAUAACCACUGGAAACGGUGGCUAAUACCGCAUAACGUCGCAAGACCAAAGAGGGGGACCUUCGGGCCUCUCACUAUCGGAUGAACCCAGAUGGGAUUAGCUAGUAGGCGGGGUAAUGGCCCACCUAGGCGACGAUCCCUAGCUGGUCUGAGAGGAUGACCAGCCACACUGGAACUGAGACACGGUCCAGACUCCUACGGGAGGCAGCAGUGGGA